GACGAACGCUGGCGGCGUGCUUAACACAUGCAAGUCGAACGAUGAAGCCGGAGCUUGCUCCGGUGGAUUAGUGGCGAACGGGUGAGUAACACGUGAGCAAUCCGCCCUUGACUCUGGGAUAACUGCGGGAAACUGUAGCUAAUACCGGAUACGACACCUUGGGGCAUCCCAGGGUGUGGAAAGAAUUUCGGUCAAGGAUGAGCUCGCGGCCUAUCAGCUAGUUGGUGAGGUAAUGGCUCACCAAGGCGACGACGGGUAGCCGGCCUGAGAGGGUGACCGGCCACACUGGAACUGAGACACGGUCCAGACUCCUACGGGAGGCAGCAGUGGGGAAUAUUGCACAAUGGGCGAAAGCCUGAUGCAGCAACGCCGCGUGAGGGAUGAAGGCCUUCGGGUUGUAAACCUCUUUUAGCAGGGAAGAAGCGAAAGUGACGGUACCUGCAGAGAAAGCACCGGCUAACUACGUGCCAGCAGCCGCGGUAA
rnacentral:rRNA from 1 species